rnacentral:rRNA from 1 species
GACGAACGCUGGCGGCGUGCUUAACACAUGCAAGUCGAACGGAAAGGCCCUGCUUUUGUGGGGUGCUCGAGUGGCGAACGGGUGAGUAACACGUGAGUAACCUGCCCUUGACUUUGGGAUAACUUCAGGAGACUGGGGCUAAUACCGGAUAGGAGCUCCUGCUGCAUGGUGGGGGUUGGAAAGUUUCGGCGGUUGGGGAUGGACUCGCGGCUUAUCAGCUUGUUGGUGGGGUAGUGGCUUACCAAGGCUUUGACGGGUAGCCGGCCUGAGAGGGUGACCGGCCACAUUGGGACUGAGAUACGGCCCAGACUCCUACGGGAGGCAGCAGUGGGGAAUAUUGCACAAUGGGCGGAGCCUGAUGCAGCAACGCCGCGUGCGGGAUGACGGCCUUCGGGUUGUAAACCGCUUUCGCCUGUGACGAAGCGUGAGUGACGGUAAUGGGUAAAGAAGCACCGGCUAACUACGUG